rnacentral:rRNA from 1 species
AAUGGGGGCAACCCUGAUCCAGCCAUGCCGCGUGAGUGAAGAAGGCCUUCGGGUUGUAAAGCUCUUUCGCGAGGGAAGAAAUUGCAUCGGAUAAUACCUGGUGUAGAUGACGGUACCUUGAUAAGAAGCACCGGCUAACUACGUGCCAGCAGCCGCGGUAAUACGUAGGGUGCGAGCGUUAAUCGGAAUCACUGGGCGUAAAGCGCACGUAGGCGGCCUGGUAAGUCAGUGGUGAAAUCCCACAGCCCAACUGUGGAACUGCCUUUGAUACUGCCAGGCUUGAGUACCGGAGAGGGGGGCGGAAUUCCAGGUGUAGGAGUGAAAUCCGUAGAUAUCUGGAGGAACACCGGUGGCGAAGGCGGCCACCUGGACGGUAACUGACGCUGAGGUGCGAAAGCGUGGGUAGCAAA